GUUUUAAUCUUUCCAGAGAUUAAAUAUUAGAUUUAUUUUAAGCAUUGAAAUGCUUUUUUAAAUUAUAAUCACUAAAUUGAUUUUCAAGUCCUCAUUACUAGUCUUGGGACUUGAAGAAGAUAUAAUUUUCACUUGAUCAAAGUUUUGUGAGCUGCGAUUGCAUGCUUCAUAAAUGAAGAUAACGAUUGGCAGCAACUGGACGAAUGGAAGACACAGGACGACGCUGGAGAAUCGUCGGUUUUCGUCUUUCGAACAGGUUGAAAUUCGUUAUCCUGGUACAGCUACAUAAUUGCCAGCUCCAACAAACUAGCAGGAAUUUCAGCAGUUUCGUCAUCGCCCAUUCUGGAGCUGCACGCAAUAUUAGGGACCACCACCAUCAUGCUACCCUUUUAACCAAGCUUUUCACCGCACCGCAACAUUA